UACGUAGGGCGCAAGCGUUGUCCGGAAUUAUCGGGCGUAAAGAGCUUGUAGGCGGUUUGUCGCGUCUGCUGUGAAAUCCCGAGGCUCAACCUCGGGCUUGCAGUGGGUACGGGCAGACUAGAGUGCGGUAGGGGAGACUGGAAUUCCUGGUGUAGCGGUGGAAUGCGCAGAUAUCAGGAGGAACACCGAUGGCGAAGGCAGGUCUCUGGGCCGCAACUGACGCUGAGGAGCGAAAGCAUGGGGAGCGAACAGG
rnacentral:rRNA from 1 species